rnacentral:rRNA from 1 species
UACAGGGGGUGCAAACGUUGCUCGGAAUCAUUGGGCGUAAAGCGCACGUAGGCGGUCUGUUAUGUCGGAUGUGAAAGCCCUCGGCUCAACUGAGGAAGUGCAUCCGAUACUGAAAGGCUCGAAUCCGGGAGAGGGAUGUGGAAUUCCAGGUGUAGCGGUGUAAAUGCGUAGAUAUCUGGAGGAACAUCGGUGGCGAAGGCGGCAUCCUGGACCGGUAUUGACGCUGAGGCGCGAAAGCCAGGGGAGCAAACGGG